AUGGCUUGGUGCUCGAAAGAGAACCGUAACACAGGUGCUGCAUGGCUGUCGUCAGCUCGUGUCGUGAGAUGUUGGGUUAAGUCCCGCAACGAGCGCAACCCUUGUCAUUAGUUGCUACAUUUAGUUGGGCACUCUAAUGAGACUGCCGGUGACAAACCGGAGGAAGGUGGGGAUGACGUCAAGUCCUCAUGGCCCUUAUAGGUAGGGCUACACACGUCAUACAAUGGAUGGUACAAAGGGUCGCCAACCCGCGAGGGGGAGCCAAUCCCAUAAAGCCAUUCGUAGUCCGGAUCGCAGUCUGCAACUCGACUGCGUGAAGUCGGAAUCGCUAGUAAUCRUGGAUCAGAAUGUCACGGUGAAUACGUUCCCGGGCCUUGU
rnacentral:rRNA from 1 species